UACACAGAAUACUAACAUGAUAAUAAACAAACUCCAUGAAGCAAUAAGAAAUUUGCCUCAUUUGCAAAAGUGUCUACAAAGUAGGUAAUGACAGAAGAUGAAUGAAAUCAUGAUUGUCCAGCCAUACUAGAAAUUGCAAGACUAAGCAAUCAUCUCAUUCUCUUUUUUUUUUUUUGAGGGGACAAUCAUCUCAUUCUUCAUGAAUGAAUGAAUUGUGCAAUCCAUGAAAGUAAAAAAUAAAUGUUUUUCAUAUGUGCUCUGAAACACCCAAGCAUGGUCACCAACUUUUUGGUGCUGCAACAUCUGUUGUCCAUUGAUAGCAUGCUUCUUAAGAAAAAAAGGAAGAUUCUGACAAGACCUUAGGAGAGAAAAGAUUUUGAGCUAAACAAGAAGGGCAUAUACAGAGCUCCAUCAGGAGGAGACCACCACUAACACUGCAACCUAUAAACACACCAGUUGGGAAUAGCAGGUUUGGAUACAAGUUCCUGUCAAAAUCAAAACGAAAUCCACGGAUUAAUGCUCCUUUAUCAUAUUGAUUACCCAAUGGGGGUAAAGCACAAGCAUACGGAUGGUGUGAAAAUGCAUUACCAGCAACCUAGAAUUGGGCAUCAUUUGUCAUAAUGAUCCCUUGAAUAAAUGUGUGAGAGCAAACACACAAUCAUAAAUAUAGCUCAGUAGAAUUAGAAGCUAGUAGGAUCAUGUACACCCAAAUUCAAAUUCAGGAUAACCUCACCUCAAGUAUAUACUCUGCUUGCCAACAUUUAACAAAUAGAAAAUUAAAAAAAUAAGAAUUAACAACAUACACAUAAAGUAUAUUAUGUAUUCCAUGUUAAGAAUUUCUAAAGCUAUAUUCAGAUAAGGCAUAAGAAUAAAAAUAUUCACUGAUUGCCACUACUUCUCUAGCCUAUAGACAGUUAGCCAAAUAUAGGCCUCCCUGGAAGGAGCAAAUCCACCACUAUUAGGGGUAAAAGGGAAAUUUAUGUCCUCGGUACUUAAGCCAAUACAAAUCAAUAGCAAUUCUCUAUUAAGGUAAGAUUGAGAUUGACUAGUUGAUGACUGGUACCAAGUAACUAUUGUGGCUUACUGUAUGAAUUGGGUGGAAACACAUCUUUACUAUCAAAAGUUAGGUUUAUGCUACUUCAACAAAAACAACUUAGACAGACAGCCAGGAAGGGUCCAGUGUAUGUGUACCUCAUUGCAAUUGAAAUAAAUCUAACUCGAGACCGGUAGUAACCACGAAUUGCUCCAAACUGCACGGAACAAGAAAAUUAAAUUAAUCAUAUAGCAUGCUUUUUUAUUUUUUUAUUUCAUAUAGCGUACUGAAUAUUUAACAUUGAUCGUGCAGUUACCUGAACAGAGAAUAACAUGUUGUACACACAAGAUAAGACAUUAACACUAGGUAAUUGACCAGAAGAAAGGGUUGCACCCUUAAUUUAAACGGAAAACCUCAAAAGCCUCAUCGCCGGAAGAUCUCAAUAUAUGUUCAUACGAGAGCUAGCUAGUUCCUUUUGUUUUGCGAGGAGAGAGCUAGCUAUUUAUUAACUUCAGAAAUUCAGCAUUCAGUUAAUUCACAAGGUACAAGAGACACUGAAGUUUGUACCGCAAACUUGUACAUAUUCUUCCGUUCUGUAUUGCCCAAACAAUUUAUGGACUAGAAUGCACGUGAGAAAAUGUAAAACUAUCUUUGAGUUCCUUGCAGAUUGCAAAAGAAAAUAGAAAUAUAAAUUUGAAACGGUCGCUAAUUUGCAUUGCUAAUUGAUAUAUGUGUGCAAUGGAAACAGAUCAUUUAGACAUCUGCUCGCAACCUUGAUGAUUUCCCCUCUGAAUAAAUUCAGCCAAACAGAUUAAUCACAUGCCUUAAUCAUAUUACGAGCAACUGGUUUCAUUAUGCUUAAGUGGUACCUAAAUACAUCAAGGCGAACUACGAGUCAUGGAGCUCGAAUGGCUAGGCCGCUGGCCAUGUUUGAAGGAUCAAAAACUAAUUAACAAGGUAUAUUUGUUCAUCCAGCUUAUGGUGACUAUAUAUUCUUGUGUGCCUAACCGUGAGUACAACGUACUUGCCAUUUUCUUGUCUGCGCAGCAUUGCCUCGUCUCCAAGUCCCUUGCAUACAUCUUCUGCUCUGAGAUUUCUUGGCAGAAUUUCAAUCCUCAUUUGCCUAAUAAAUUCACAAAACACAAAGCUGGUGUCAUCACUUCGAAUCUUAUCUUAAGAAUAGCAUAAAACUAAAUUUCGUGUAAACAAAAUUCCGCUCUGAUUUGAAGCUCGUAAGUUUGUACGUAUUUCCAUUAACAAAUUCAUAGAGAAUUAGUACUAUCACCUAGGUACAGGCUGGUUCUUUAUGUACAACAUUACUAACAUUCAGUUAAUUGAGAAGCAUCAUUUAUAGCUACAAGGUUGCAAAUUCGUGCAAUUUUUUGACGGCGAAUUUUACAGAAAAUCAAAAUCACAGAGAGUAUUCACAUGCCCCAUGAGAAACAAAAAUUGAUCUCAACAGAAUCGAAGUUUGAUGCUGUAGUGUUGUUCAUCCUACUCCACAGUUUGAUACUGAAUUCACAUGGCCUCCCCCGCCACCUCUCCGCUCCGGCAUUUGAUCUGAGGGGGAUUGAAGGGGUUUGUGAAGGAUUAAAUCCCUUGUAAGUCAGAAUCCUCCCCAAUCCCCUUCAAACACCUCCAAUCUCCUUGGAGAAGGGAUUAACCGAACAAGCCCACCAUAACCCCCUCCCCUGCAGGUACUACACAAGCUCCCCAUAUUUCUUUCAUUUCAUUCAUUGGUCUCUCUUCCUCUUCCCCUGCUCCCCC
rnacentral:lncRNA from 1 species